CCUACGGGUGGCAGCAGUGAGGAAUCUUGGUCAAUGGGCGCGAGCCUGAACCAGCCAAGCAGCGUGAAGGAUGACUGCCCUACGGGUUGUAAACUUCUUUUAUAAAGGAGUAAAGUGAGGCACGUGUGUCUUUUUGUACGUACUGUAUGAAUAAGGAUCGGCUAACUCCGUGCCAGCAGCCGCGGUAAUACGGAGGAUCCGAGCGUUAUCCGGAUUUAUUGGGUUUAAAGGGAGCGUAGAUGGGUUGGUAAGUCAGUUGUGAAAGUUUGCGGCUCAACCGUAGAAUUGCAAUUGAUACUGGCAGUCUUGAGUGCAGGUGAGGUAGGCGGAAUGCAUGGUGUAGCGGUGAAAUGCUUAGAUAUCACGAAGAACACCGAUUGCGAAGGCAGCUUACUAGACUGCCACUGACGUUGAGGCUCGAAAGCGUGGGGAGCAAACAGGAUUAGAUACCCUUGUAGUC
rnacentral:rRNA from 1 species